UGUGUGUGAAUUGAUCUAUAUAAAAAUUUAGGUUAACAUAAUAAAGAGUUUUGUUGUAUUAUUCUGAAAGUACUAAACGUAGUUUAGUAAUUAUUUUGCCAAUAAUAAAUUAUAGUUAAAAAAAAAAAACU